rnacentral:rRNA from 1 species
ACUCCUACGGGAGGCAGCAGUGGGGAAUAUUGCACAAUGGGCGCAAGCCUGAUGCAGCCAUGCCGCGUGUGUGAAGAAGGCCUUCGGGUUGUAAAGCACUUUCAGUUGUGAGGAAGGUGGUGUCGUUAAUAGCGGCAUCAUUUGACGUUAGCAACAGAAGAAGCACCGGCUAACUCCGUGCCAGCAGCCGCGGUAAUACGGAGGGGUGCGAGCGUUAAUCGGAAUUACUGGGGCGUAAAGCGCAUGCAGGUGGUUUGUUAAGUCAGAUGUGAAAGCCCGGGGCUCAACCUCGGAACUGCAUUUGAAACUGGCAGACUAGAGUACUGUAGAGGGGGUAGAAUUUCAGGUGUAGCGGUGAAAUGCGUAGAGAUCUGAAGGAAUACCGGUGGCGAAGGCGGCCCCCUGGACAGAUACUGACACUCAGAUGCGAAA